AGCUUUCGUGGCUCAGUUGGCUAGAGCGUUGGUCUCAUAUGUUGAAUAUGACGUUACUGAAAUAAAUAAACAGUCACGGUGAUCCAAAGGUCGCAAGUUCGAGCCUUGCCGAGAGCA
rnacentral:tRNA from 1 species